rnacentral:rRNA from 1 species
CCGAAGGAACGCCCCCCGUCYUAUAAGCUAGGUGGKGRAGGUAACGCCCCACCCAAGGSGRMCGAAAAUUUAUCGGSCCYUAAGAGGGGUGAACGGMCCCAUUUGGGACUGAAGAUWCGGCCCCAGACUCCUCGGGGAGGCAGCAGCUAAGAAUAUUCCGCAAUGGAGGAAACUCUGMCGGAGCGACGCCGCGKGGAUGAUGAAGCCCGGAAYGUUGUAAAAUCCUUUUGAGUGUGAUGAAUAAAGCUUACAGRAAAUGGUAAGAAGAUGACCGUAGCACUUGAAUAAGGGGCGGCUAAUUACGUGCCAGCAGCCGCGGUAACACGUAAGCCCCGAGCGUUGUUCGGAAUUAUUGGGCGUAAAGGGCAUGUAGGCGGUUGUGCAAGCUUGGUGUGAAAUGCCGGGGCUUAACUCCGGCACUGCGUUGAGAACUGCACGACUAGAGUAACUGAGGGGCAGCCGGAAUUCCAGGUGUAGGGGUGAAAUCKGWAGAUAUCUGGAAGAACACCAAUGGCGAAGGCAGGCUACCAGCAGAUUACUGACGCUGAGGUGCGACCCCCCCUUGUUCAAACAGGAUUAGAUACCCUGGUAGUCCGCA